AGCCCACAUUAAGAAAAAAAAAUGGUUUAAACUUUAAAAAGCCAAAUCUACCGAAGCCGAGGAAGCCAUUGAUGCCUUUGCUUUGAAACACGGGUCAAAAAAAAAAAAAAAAAGAUACAUACCUGAGUCUCUCUGCAGAAAUCCCGAGGUUUUGGAACUUUCUUUUUCUUUUUGUUUUGGCUGUUGAGAAAGCUUGUCUCCAACAUGGCGGAGAAGAAUGACAAGUACGGUAAAGAGUUGGAUUUGGCUGUUAGAAUUGUGCAUAUGGCUUGUUCUUUAUGUCAAAAAGUGCAACAAAGCUUGGUUUCUGCUGCUUCUGGACAUGUUUUGGCCAAGGAUGAUGAUUCUCCUGUUACUAUUGCAGACUGGAGCGUCCAAGCAACUGUUAGUUGGCUGCUUUCCGAAUUCUUGGAGGGUUGGAGUGUGUCCAUUGUUGCUGAAGAAGAUGUCCAAACACUCUCCAAGCCUGAAGCGGCUAGUUUACUUUCAGCUGUUGUCAAUACUGUGAAUGAAUGCUUAGCUGAAGCACCAAAGUAUGGUCUUCAGUGUCCAAAGAAAGUUCUCGGGACUUCACAAAUCCUUGAGGCUAUCAGUCGGUGUAACUCAACUGGGGGCCCAACUGGAAGACAUUGGGUGCUUGACCCUGUUGAUGGGACAUUGGGAUUUUUACGUGGUGACCAGUAUGCUGUAGCACUAGGCUUUCUUGAGGAUGGGAAGCUAGUUCUUGGAGUUCUUGGGUGUCCUAAUUACCCUAUGAGAAAGGAAUUGUUGAAUUAUAAUCAUCAAUGCAACCAAAUUAAGCCGACGAGUCCACCAUCUUCGGAUAUUUGGCAAAAAGGAUGUGUGAUGUAUGCAAGGAGAGGAACUGGUCAGGCAUGGAUGCAACCUUUGAUCCAUGGGGAUACAAAAUUUGAAUGGCCAAAUUCUGCUACAUUGCUACAGGCUUCUCCUGUUGAUGAUCCAUCGCUGGCAACUUUUUGUGAACCUGUGGAAAAGGCAAAUUCAAACCACUUGUUUACCGAGGGGCUUGUUAACAGCAUAGGUCUCAAAAACCGACCUAUGCGAGUCCAUAGCAUGGUAAAAUAUGCAGCAAUAGCUCGGGGUGAUGCUGAAGUUUAUAUUAAGUUUGCAAGAUCUGGGUACAAAGAGAAGAUAUGGGAUCACGCUGCUGGUGUUGUCAUUGUAGAAGAGGCUGGUGGGGUUGUAACGGAUGCAGGGGGUCGCCCCUUGGACUUCAGUAGGGGACUGUACUUAGAAGGUCUUGACCGGGGGAUUGUUGCUUGCUCUGGCCCCAUACUGCAUGAUAAAAUCAUUGGGGCUGUAUAUGCAAGCUGGGAUUCUUCUAAUCUAUGAGACUUUCUACAUCUUUUCAAUGCAAUAAUAGUGGAGUAUUAUAUGGUAAUUUUAUGGCGGGCAAGCAAAUUUGUGAAGGACACUGCCACAAACUAAUGACUCGAGAAGCGUCUGCUGAAAUAUAUUCUCCGUUUUUAAGGUCUGAUCAUUGAUUUCACCUCCAGUCCCCAUCUUACUGUCGUAGUAUUGCUCCAUUUUUAUUAGCAAUAGGCCCUUACGAUAGUUCUCAAAUGGAAGUUUUGAUUCCAUUAAUACAAAAUCAUCACUGUGGGGAUUCUUUAAUACGACAAAAGCUUAAGCUAAUGCUACUACCCUCUGCUUGCUUAGGGAACUGAACUGAUGCAUAAAUUUUGGUCACAAGUAAUUGGAUAUAUGUACACUUGCUCAUAGUUCAGGCCACCGAUCUUGAAGGUUUGUCCGAAAAACGAGGGGUUUUGGAUAAAAAUAUGAUACCCUAAUAAUGGGUUUGGGUAAAAUUUAAGGCCUAUUUUCUAUAUGGGUUGGGUCUUGGGCAACAUGUUUUGGCUCGAGCUCGGUCCAGAUUGAAUAUAUUAUGUUAUGAAAAAUAA